rnacentral:ncRNA from 2 species
GGUGUCCUAAGAUGAGCUCAA